AGGAUGAACGCUGGCGGCGUGCCUAAAACAUGCAAGUCAUACGGUCUACCUUCGGGUAGACAGUGGCAAACGGGUGAGUAACACGUGGGAACACGCCUUCGAGUGGGGAAUAACGCUGAGAAAUCAGUGCUAAUACCGCAUAUGGUCUAACGACUAAAGCAGCAAUGCGCUCGGAGAGUGGCCCGCGUCCGAUUAGCUAGUUGGUGGGGUAAUGGCCUACCAAGGCGGUGAUCGGUAGCUGGUCUGAGAGGAUGGUCAGCCACACUGGGACUGCGAACGGCCCAGACUCCUACGGGAGGCAGCAGUUAGGAAUUUUCGGCAAUGGACGAAAGUCUGACCGAGCGACGCCGCGUGGAGGAUGAAGCCUUUCGGGGUGUAAACUCCUUUCUGCGGGAAGAUAAUGACGGUACCGCAGGAAUAAGCACCGGCUAACUACGCGCCAGCAGCCGC
rnacentral:rRNA from 1 species